GACGAACGCUGGCGGCGUGCUUAACACAUGCAAGUCGAACGGAAAGGCCCUGCUUUUGUGGGGUGCUCGAGUGGCGAACGGGUGAGUAACACGUGAGUAACCUGCCCUUGACUUUGGGAUAACUUCAGGAAACUGGGGCUAAUACCGGAUAGGAGCUCCUGCUGCAUGGUGGGGGUUGGAAAGUUUCGGCGGUUGGGGGUGGACUCGCGGCUUAUCAGCUUGUUGGUGGGGUAGUGGCUUACCAAGGCUUUGACGGGUAGCCGGCCUGAGAGGGUGACCGGCCACAUUGGGACGGAGAUACGGCCCGGACUCCUACGGGAGGCAGCAGUGGGGAAUAUUGCACAAUGGGCGGAAGCCUGAUGCAGCAACGCCGCGUGCGGGAUGACGGCCUUCGGGUUGUAAACCGCUUUCGCCUGUGACGAAGCGUGAGUGACGGUAAUGGGUAAAGAAGCACCGGCUAACUACGU
rnacentral:rRNA from 1 species